rnacentral:rRNA from 1 species
UACGUAGGUGGCAAGCGUUGUCCGGAAUUAUUGGGCGUAAAGCGCGCGCAGGCGGUCCUUUAAGUCUGAUGUGAAAGCCCACGGCUCAACCGUGGAAGGUCAUUGGAAACUGGAGGACUUGAGUACAGAAGAGGAAAGCGGAAUUCCACGCGUAGCGGUGAAAUGCGUAGAGAUGUGGAGGAACACCAGUGGCGAAGGCGGCUUUCUGGUCUGUAACUGACGCUGAGGCGCGAAAGCGUGGGGAGCAAACAGG